ensembl:lncRNA
ACAUUCAUAAUUUUUAUUGAUGGAGUAUAUAGUCAAAAAAUGCGAAGACCCAGGCAAUAAGCUACCAUUGAAGGGAUAUUUAAAGAGGUAAGAGUAUCAGACCUUUAUUAUGCAGAGAUAGCAUUAGGGCACAUGUAGACGAUACUUUAACAGGGAACAGGAGAAAUAUUUUUUCCAGCUUUGUUGAGAUAAUGACAUAUAACAUAUGUAGGUUUAAGCUGUGCAAUGUGAUGAUUUAACACCUAUAUAUAUUGCAAAAUAAUGACAACAUUUACAACUUGCUUUCAACAACUUUCAAGUAUAUAAUACAGCACUGUUAAUUACAAUCACUACGCCAUACAUUAGAUCCUCAGAACUUAAUAACUGGGAGUUUGUACUCUUUGACUAACAUCUCUUCCAUUUUCCUCACACCAGCUCCAGCUUUUGGCAACCACCAUUCUACUCUCUGAGUUCAGCUUUUUUUAGAUUUCACAUAUAAAUGAGAACAAACAGUAUUCGUCUUUCUCUAUAUGAGUUAUUUCACUUAGCAUAAUGUCCUAUAUUGUCACAAAGGUUUCCUUUUUUAUACAGCUAAAUAAUAUUCCAUCAUAUUUUCUUUAUCCAUUAGUCAUGUGGGUUGUUUCCACAGCUUGGCUAUUGUGAGGAAUGCUGCAGUGAAUGUGGUAGUAUGGAAACUUCUUUGAGAUCCUGAUUCCAUUUCCUUCAGAUAUACAUCCAGAAGCAGAAGUGCUGGGUCAUGUGGCAGUCCUAUUUUUAAUUUCUUGAGGAACCUCUGUACUGCUUUCCAAAGUGGCUGCACUAAUUUGCAUUCCCACCAACAGGGCUCAAGGGUUUUCUCUUCUCCACAUCCUCACCAGAACUUGAUACUUGUGGGCUUUUUGAUAACAGCCAUUCUAAGAGUUAUGAGGUGAUAUCAUAUGCAGUUUGCCUUGCAUUUCCAUAAUGAUUAGUGAUGUUGAGCAUCUUUUCAUGUACCUAUUUGGCCACUUAUAUUCCUUCUUCGGAAAAGAAGUCUACUUAAGUCUUUUACCUAUUUUUUAAUCAGAUUGUUUGGUUUUUAUGCUAUUGAGUUGUACGAGUUCCUUAUGUAUUUUGAAUAUUAACCCCCAUCAGAUAGAGGGUUUACAAAUAUUUUCUCUCAUUCUUUUUACUUUACUGAUUGUUUCUUUUUUUUUCUUUUCUUUCAUCUUUAUAGGGCUGCACCAACGGCAUAUGGAAGUUCCUAGGCUAGGGGUCGAAUGAGAGCUAUAACUGCUGGCUUACACCACAGCCACAGCAAUGCUAGAUCUGAGCUGCAUCUGAGACCUACACUACAGCUCACAGCAACGCUGGAUCCUUGACCCACUGAACAAGGCCAGGUAUAAUACCUGCAUCCUCACAGAUACUAGUCAGAUUCGUUUCCACUGAGCUACAACAGAAACUCCUGAUUGUUUAUUUUGUUGUGGAGAAGCUCUUUAGUUUGAUGUAGCUCCACUUGCUUAUUUUUUGCUUGUACUUUGGGUAUCAUAAUCCAAAAACUCAUUGCCACAACCAAUGUCAAGGAGCUUUUUUUCCUGUUUUCUUCUAAGGGGUUUUAUGGUCUCAGGUCUUACAUUUAAGUCUUUAAUGCAUUUUGAGUUAAUUUUUGUAAACGAUAUAAGGUAGGGGUCCAACUUCACUAUUCUGCAUGUAUUUAUACAGUUCUCCCAAACCAGUUAUUGAAGCGGCUAUUAUUGGCACCUCUGUCAAAUAUUAGUUGGCCUUGUAAGUGUGGGCUUAUUUCUGGGAUCUCAAUUCUAUUCCAGUGGUCUAUGGUUUCUAUUUUUAUGCCAGUACCAUCCAUUUCAAUUACUACAGCAUUGCAAUAAAGUUUGAAAUCAGGAAUUUUGAUGCCUGAAAGGGGGUGUAUCAUAAGGAAAAUAGAAACCUUAGACUUGUAGAAAUUUUCCUACUAAUCUGAUUCUUUAAAAACAUUUUAAGCCUCCUUCUUAAAUAAUUACAUUAGAUGGAACACUGUAAAUCAAAUAAAAUAAAACAAUUUUUUAAUUGCAUUAGGUCACUGUUUUAGUUACACUGAUCUGUGUAGUACUUAAAGUUUUAAUGUUUCUCCUUUUCAAAAGUCUAUUUUCUGAGCAAAUAUUUUGACUAAUGCUCUAUAUAAGUUAGAAAGCUAAUUUGAGAAAAAAAAUGAUCAAUGGAAUUUAACUGCUUUAGCAGAAUUCUAUAAGGAAAAUGUCUCCAAAUGGCAAAAUAUCACAUAAUAAUAUGAUAUACCUUAAAUAAAAUAGUUACUAAAUCCUAGAGAUUCAAAACCAUAAAAUGAAAAGAAUUUUGAAAUUAACCCAAAGAAAUUAACUCUCAGAUGAUUAACUCUCGAGUUUGGCAAAAAAAUUUUUUUUAAUUAAAAAAAAUAAGAAGAAUAAAAUAUAUCAAUAAUCAUUAUAUCUCAAUAAUCAUCAUAAUUUGUAAUUAUGAUUAUUUAUUUUAGAAGAAAAGCUGGGAUAAAGAAAGGAUGAUUUUAUAGGACCACACUGUUCAUCAAAAAAAAUGCUUUACCAAUUUACUAUUUCUAAAUUUAGUGGUUCAAAUAUGUCUCUCCAUUGAGAUUUUUACUCCCUGCAUAUUCCUUUCUACUUGAAUUCUCACCUUGGUUGUCUCACCAAGGCCAACAUGAUAAGGCAUUGUGAAAACAUGAUAUGCACAGUGAAAGAAGCACAGUUAGGAACUUCUCAGCUCACAAAGAUAAAUGAAACAUGGUACCAGCUCCUAGGACACCUACAGUCACAAAAAGGAACUAAAACAGCCACACAGGCAACUACUAACCAUGUAAUUCCAGAUAAAAUGUGAUAAGUAUUUUAAAGGAGGCAUAAUUAGGAGUUCCCUUUGUGACUCAGUGGUUAACAAACCUGACUAGGAUCCAUGAGGAUACAGGUUCCAUUCCUGGCCUCGAUCAGUGGGUUAAGGAUCCAGCGUUGCCAUGGGCUGUGGUGUAGGUUGCAGACACGGCUCAGAUCCUGCAUUGCUGUGGCUGUGGUAUAUGCCAGCAGCUGCAGCUCUGAUUGGACCCCUAGUCUGGGAACUUCCAUAUGCUGUGGGUGUGGCCCUAAAAAAAGCAAAAAAAAAAAAAGAGGUAUAAUGAAAAUACAAAUGGAGCUCCUCUAUAUUGUUGAAAGGAAUGUAACUGCAGCAACUGCUAUGGAAAACAGUAUGGAAGUUCCUUUAAAAACUAAAAAUAAAGGUGCCAUAUGAUCUGGUGAUCACACUCCUGAGUAUAUGUCUGGAGAGAUCUCUAAUUUGAAAAUAUACAUGCACCCCAACAUUCAUAGCAGCACUUUUUACAGUAGUCAAGACAUGAAAACAACACAUAAAUGUCCAAGGACAAAGAAGAUGUGGUAUACAUAUACAAUGGAAUAUUACUCAGCCAUGAAAAAGAAUGAAAUAACGCCAUUUGCAGCAACAUGGAUGCAACUAGAGAUUAUCAUACUAAGUGAAGUAAGUCAGAAAGAGAAAGACAAAUAUUAUAUGAUAUCACUUAUUUGUGGAAUCUAAAAUAUGACACAAAUGAACUUAUUUACAAAAUAGAAACAAACUCAGAGACAUAGAAAACAAACUUAUGGUUACCGGAGGGGAAAGAGGGUGGGGGAGGGAUAAAUUGGGAGUUUUGGAUUAGCAGAUACAAACUACUAUACAAAACAUAUAAAUAGGGAGUUCCCAUUGUGGUGCAGUGGAAACAAAUCCAACUAGUAUCCAUGAGGAUGUAGGUUCGAUUCCUGAUCUUGCUCAGUGGGUUAGGGAUCCAGCGUUGCCAUGAGCUGUGGUGUAGGUUACAGACAAGGCUCGGAUCCUGUGUUGCUUCACCUGUGCGUAGGCUCAGAGCUGUAGCUCCAAUUCAACCCCUAGCCUAGGAAUUUCCAUAUGCCUCAGGAGCAGCCCUAAAAAUAAAAAUAAAAUAAAAUAAAAUAGAUAAACAACAUGAUUCUACUGUAUAGCACAGGGAACUGUAUUCAGUAUCCUGUAGUAAGCUGUAAUGGAAAAUAUUAUGCUAAAGAAUUUAUAGAGGUGGGAUGAAGAUGGCAGAGGAGUAAGACAUGGUGCUCACCUUCUCCCAAAAACACAUCAAAAAACCCAAAAAUCCCAUCUACAUGUAGAACGAUUUGCACAGAACAUCUACUGGCAGAAGAUGUUAAACUUCCAAAAAGGGCAAGAAACUCUCCACAUAACUGUGUAGAACAAAAAGGGGGGAAAAAAUGAGGGAGAGAAGAGAGAAAAAGGGAAUUAGUAUGGGUCUAGCACUCCUGAGAGGGAGCUGUGAAAGAGGAAAGAAAUCUGUACCCUGGGAGCCCACCUAAUUGGCGGGGAGAUCAGCCGAGAUGGAGAGGGAAGAUCAAAGCCCUAGAGAAAAGUGCAGCAGCCAGACUGAGGAGGUCAAAGCAAAGCGAGAGCCACAGAGACCAUCAGCACCACUGCCCUGGACACUACUGCCUGAGACACUUGGUCAGGGGCUGGGUGCUGAGACUCAGGCUCUGGAGGUCAGUUCUAGGGAGAGAACUAGGGUUGCUGUGUGGAGACAGCCUAGGGGCUAGGGAGCAAUGUGCCAUGUGCUGGGGAGCAGAGCACCACAACCAAGGGAGUGAGGGAGGAGGGGCAGGACUGCAAUAGGAAUAUCCUUCUCUGUGCAUGAGUGGGUUCUCAGGCAGCAGGGUCCCUCCUGCGAGGGCUAUGGGAAAUGGGGGCAAACUGACCCAGCCAUCUCAGACUCCAGAGGUGAGUGUGGUCCACCACCACUAGGGGUCCAUGAACAGGCACCACCUAUGGCUCCAGUCACCUCAGGGGUUAUCACAGAGGAAGGCAUUACAACUGAGCACCACCCAGUGUUCCUCCCCUAGGCACUACAACUGAGCACCACCAGUGUUCCUCCCCUAGGAAUAUCCUGUGGCUGUCACUGCCAAAGGCUCUGGUCACCACCUACCCCUGCCUGAGGGUCACUGCCACCUCUCAGGGCCCUGCAACCAGGAGCAGCCUGUGCCACCUCCUCAUGGGUCCCCACCACUGUCAAGGGCCGAGCAACCAGACACUGGCUACUAGCCCUGCCCAUUUCUUCCAACUCCCUGAAAGCACAUGCAGGCUGUACACCAGCAUGGGGAUAACAGCCUACAGACACUGAGGAAAGAGAAAGCAAGCAUCCAAACCAAAAUAGCCUUCCAAGACUACAGCAGCUGUUUUUGCUGAACUCACAGAAUAAGAAAAAUAUAAGCAAAAUGAAGAGGCUCAGGAACCAUUCCAGGUUAAAAGAACAGGAGAAUUUUCUGAAGGAGCAAACAAUGAAAUAGACCUCUGCAGCCUAAAAGACAUCAAGUUCAAAAAGGUGAUAGUGAAAAUUCUGAAGGAAUUAAAAAAUGGAUAUGAAUGAAGAGCAGAUAUGAACAGUAAUGCAGAUUACUUUAGAAAGGAACUAGAAAAUAUAAGGAGGAGCUGAGGAAAAUUAGAAAAUUCACUUGCAGAGAUAUAAGGUGAGUUAAAGGUACUGAGGAGCAUAAUGAAUAAUGUAGAGGGACAAAUCAGUGACUUGGAAGAUAGAAUAAUGGAAAUAACCCAAUUAAGGACAGCAGAUAGAAAACCAUAUGAAAAAACAUUAAUGCAACAUAAGAGAUCAAUAGGAUAAUAUAAAGCAGACCAAUCUAUGUAUAAUAGGGAUUCUAGAAGGAGAAAAAAAAAAAAAAGGAAAGGGGAUUGAAAAUACAUUUGAAGAAAUUAUGGCUGAAAACUUUCCAAAUCUAAAGGAAACAUAUAUCAAGAUACAGGAAGCACAGAAGGCCCCAAACAAGUUGAAUUCAAACAGGCCCAUACCAAGACAUAAUAGUAAUGGCAAAAGUUAAAGAUAAGGAGAGGAUUCUAGAGGGAGCAAGGAAAAAAAAAAUUAAUUAUAAGGGAACCCCCAUAAGGCUAUCAGCUGAUUUCUCUAUAGAAACACUGCAGGCCAGAAGAGAGUGGCAAGAUACAUUUAAAGUUCUAAAAGUUUUAACAUGAUAACCUUCCUAGCAUUUACCAUCUGGAGGUCAGAGACGCCUGCAGGUGCCACCCUUCCCAAUGGACCCUCUCAACUUGUUUCCACCUGGCCACUCUUCGGACCUGGCUGACUGCACCGGCGGCUUUUGAGCCUUCCCACCUACAGCGAACUCUUGAAGAGCAUCUCCUUAUGUUAUUUUCCCUUUCAUCUCCAGUUCAUUCUUACCCACGAUAACUGCCUGUGGUCACAACAGCUCUGUUCCACCCCCACUCCAACCCCCCAAGGCACGCCAGUGCAUUUUCUUAGUGCUUCUAGCUUAGCAAAUGCCAAGCGAACCUGUUCCAAUUAGAUCUGUGGAGACAUAACAUAUACGUCAGAUGAUUCCAUAGGGUGAAAGUAUGAAACUGUUGUUAUUGGGUUAUUUGACCUACAAAAUGGGCAACUGCAUAGGAUUCAACGAUGUUUCUAUUCACUGUUUUCCUCCUCAAAAGCGAUCCUCGGGGCAACAUGCUACCAGGGUUGCUAAUAUUCAUGGCAAUUCACUACUUUAACUGAACACAAACACACCACCCACCCCAGUUUGGUCCAAGCCCUCCCCUCAACAAUGCGAGAUUUAAGCCCCCACCACCCGCCUCCGGGUUCCCAGCCACCCCUGCUCCCAGAGGGGCAGCACCAAGCUUCACAAGGCAGCGCACAGGAGGUGAGCACCAUCCUUGAGGGCGCCAGCGACCCGGCCAGCCUAGACCUUGCGGCCAGCGGAUGAAAGGAG